rnacentral:rRNA from 1 species
GACGAACGCUGGCGGCGUGCUUAACGCAUGCAAGUCGAACGGAAAGGCCCUGCUUUUGUGGGGUGCUCGAGUGGCGAACGGGUGAGUAGCACGUGAGUAACCUGCCCUUGACUUUGGGAUAACUUCAGGAAACUGGGGCUAAUACCGGAUAGGAGCUCCUGCUGCAUGGUGGGGGUUGGAAAGUUUCGGCGGUUGGGGAUGGACUCGCGGCUUAUCAGCUUGUUGGUGGGGUAGUGGCUUACCAAGGCUUUGACGGGUAGCCGGCCUGAGAGGGUGACCGGCCACAUUGGGACUGAGAUACGGCCCAGACUCCUACGGGAGGCAGCAGUGGGGAAUAUUGCACAAUGGGCGGAAGCCUGAUGCAGCAACGCCGCGUGCGGGAUGACGGCCUUCGGGUUGUAAACCGCUUUCGCCUGUGACGAAGCGUGAGUGACGGUAAUGGGUAAAGAAGCACCGGCUAACUAC